CACUGAGAAAGAAACUUCCACAAGUUGUGGAAAUCACUGCUGGUCGAACGAAAACUUCGCUGUAGCAUGAAAUGCGAAGUGGCACCUUGGAUGCGGCUAAUGGAGCUAUCGUGGUCCUAAAAGUAACUCUCAGGGCACCUCAGAGGGAUUCGUUUCUUCCCUUUCAGCCUCCCUGUCUUGCAGGGGACGUUUUUCAUUGCUCGUCUCUCGGUCCCCCUUCGGGCUCGUUGUUAAUCAUCAGGCGCCGGGACUUCCAGGCAUGUAGGAGUGUGCUUGGAGGGAGCUUGGACAAUGCAUCACUUCAGGUUCCUGAGUCUCUACUGAAACCAAAAAGAGGAGAUCCUGUUCCCCAGCUGGAGAAGCAGCAGGGAGCCAAAAUAGGAGCCGAAGCCCCAGAAAGCGGUGGGGUAUAGCUGUGAAUCCUAGCAACAGGCGGAGAGAGAACUGUACGUUUCUUCACGUCCUCCAAGUGUUGGUGCCUUCUGUUACAUCAUUUACAGGAAGCAACAGAGACCCUGGAAAGGCCCUUCUUGCCGAUGCAUCAAGAAAGGGCAGGGUUUUUUCCAGUGGGAUGGUCUGUUGCACAGGAGCUGUCGGCCAUGCUGUUCCAGUUCAGGGGCUCCUGCAACAGAAAAGAUCAGCUGUUGGAGAACCCAUGGAAAGCCCUGGGGGAGAGCCAUGGCCGCAAGAGGACCAGGCAAUUCCAGGCACAACUCUAGCAGAUGGUUUUGGUGAUGGAAAGCACAAGGGGAUCGCUCCCAGGAGCUGCUCAGGCAGUUAAGUCAAAAAUGAACUGAUGCAUGUAGUGAGCCACGGCCCUGGCCCAGCCGACUCCAGGCACUUCCCUCUGUACAAGCAGCCUGUGCUGCCCCCAUUUCUACACCCAGCUUUCUCUGCCUCUAAUCAGAAAAUCUUCUGGAAGGGGGGAUUGAGCUUUUCUCUUUCCUGAGCUCUCUGAGCCAGCUUGUGUCAGAGAAAACAGAAUGUGAACCCCAGUUCAGCCAUACCUCUGCUGAUCCUGCCCACCACAGCAUUGCCCUGACACCCCACACCGAUGAAAACCUGAUCAUGCUGGAGA